rnacentral:rRNA from 1 species
GACGAACGCUGGCGGCGUGCUUAACACAUGCAAGUCGAGCGGUAAGGCCCUUUCGGGGGUACACGAGCGGCGAACGGGUGAGUAACACGUGGGUGACCUGCCCUCAGCUCUGGGAUAAGCCUGGGAAACCGGGUCUAAUACUGGAUAUGACUCCAUGACGCAUGUUGUGGGGUGGAAAGCCUUGUGCGGCUGAGGAUGGGCCCGCGGCCUAUCAGCUUGUUGGUGGGGUGAGGGCCUACCAAGGCGACGACGGGUAGCCGGCCUGAGAGGCGACCGGCCACACUGGGACUGAGACACGGCCCAGACUCCUACGGGAGGCAGCAGUGGGGAAUCUUGCGCAAUGGGCGAAAGCCUGACGCAGCGACGCCGCGUGAGGGAUGACGG